rnacentral:rRNA from 1 species
GACGAACGCUGGCGGCGUGCUUAACACAUGCAAGUCGAACGGAAAGGCCCUGCUUGCAGGGUACUCGAGUGGCGAACGGGUGAGUAACACGUGGGUGAUCUGCCCUGCACUUCGGGAUAAGCCUGGGAAACUGGGUCCAAUACCGGAUAGGAGCCAUUCUUAGUGUGAUGGUUGGAAAGUUUUUUCGGUGUAGGAUGAGCUCGCGGCCUAUCAGCUUGUUGGUGGGGUAAUGGCCUACCAAGGCGGCGACGGGUAGCCGGCCUGAGAGGGUGGACGGCCACAUUGGGACUGAGGUACGGCCCAGACUCCUACGGGAGGCAGCAGUGGGGAAUAUUGCACAAUGGGCGCAAGCCUGAUGCAGCGACGCCGCGUGGGGGAUGACGGCCUUCGGGUUGUAAACUCCUUUCGCUAGGGACGAAGCUUUUUGUGACGGUACCUAGAUAAGAAGCACCGGCUAACUACGUG